UGAACACGAAUAUUUUUAUUUUGCAGAUAUUCAGAGAGGUGAAAGUGAAGGAUUUCGACGCAUCACAAUACGAGGCUAAACAAGUUUUCUACUCAAGCAAAGAUGGCACCAAAGUUCCUAUGUUUAUUGUAUCUAAAAAGGAUCUGCCCCGACGGUCGAACCCGGCGCUGAUCUACGGCUAUGGAGGGUUCAACAUCAACAUCCAGCCGAGCUUCAGCGUCACGCGGCUCGUGUUCAUGCAACACUACAAUGGAAUUAUCGCCAUACCCAACAUCAGAGGCGGCGGUGAGUACGGCGAGCGGUGGCA